CGCUGGCGGCGUGCCUAAUACAUGCAAGUCGAGCGGAGUUAGAGAAGCUUGCUUCUCUAACUUAGCGGCGGACGGGUGAGUAACACGUGGGCAAUCUGCCCGUAAGACUGGGAUAACUCCGGGAAACCGGGGCUAAUACCGGAUAAUCCUGACUCUCUCCUGAGAGUCAGUUGAAAGAUGGUUUCGGCUAUCACUUACGGAUGAGCCCGCGGCGCAUUAGCUAGUUGGUAGGGUAAUGGCCUACCAAGGCGACGAUGCGUAGCCGACCUGAGAGGGUGAUCGGCCACACUGGGACUGAGACACGGCCCAGACUCCUACGGGAGGCAGCAGUAGGGAAUCUUCCGCAAUGGACGAAAGUCUGACGGAGCAACGCCGCGUGAGUGAAGAAGGUUCUCGGAUCGUAAAACUCUGUUGUUAGGGAAGAACACGUACGAGAGUAACUGCUCGUACCUUGACGGUACCUAACCAGAAAGCCACGGCUAACUACGUG
rnacentral:rRNA from 1 species